UGAGUUGAAAUAACCAUCUUAUACUACAAUUAAUAAUAUCUUCAAAUAAAAAUAUGAGCUACAUUAUUGAUAUUUUACACUGUUUUUGUUAUUGUUAAUUCAACAUUCAAAAUCCUACAUAAAACAGUUACAUAUCAUAAAUGUUUGAUGUCUAUGUUGUGUGUUGUAGUCGAUCAGCCAAAUAGAUGUACAUAUGCCCCAUAGCUCCAGUAAGAAAUUCAUUCUUAUAUCUUGAUUCUAUAGUCACAAUUUCACCAUCAUUAAUCUUGAUUGAACCUGGUUUCGGAUAACACACUGACAUUCCAACCGCAUAACCUUCCUCAUUUCCUGCUUCCUUUCCUGUUCCGUAUGUUGGUGUUGAUGUACACAAUUCCCUUCCAUCCUAAUUAAUUAAUCAAAUAAAUAAAUAAAUAAAUGAUUUUAAUUUUCAUGCAUUAUUAGUGUAAAAAAAUAUACACUAUCACAUAUCAC
rnacentral:lncRNA from 1 species